AUACUUACCUUAAGAUGUCAGAGGAGAUCAAGAAGUCCUUCUGGCCAGAUAUGUCUUUCUUAAGCGAUGCCUGUGUUUUUCAGGAUACAGGUUUGCUUGCUGGGUCUCAUUUAUAGACUGCACAUACGUGCGAAAGGUGUAUUUGCUGACGUUUCGUUUUCUCGUUCUGCAAGUGUGCCAUUUUCUUUCUUAAGGAAGACAAUGGCAUGCUUGUUGGAGCCCUUUGUUUCUUCUGCCUGGAGAAGGAUGGUGCUGAUUACAAGUCAGCGCUGGGAAAGUCGGGCGCGAAUCUUGGCCGUUCUAAGUGCUGAUACUUCAGCUCUCUGUGACAACAGUCGAUUCCUGUGUGUAGGCAUUUCGUUGGCGGUUGUUUGCGGCUAUGGUCCUCGGAUGAUGGCUUCAGAUGGCUGCUAAAUGGGUGCCGUUAUUGCAUGGUGAAGGUGUGCUGUUGCGAAGUUCGGUAUAGGACAGGAUUCACGCACGGUAGAAACGGGUAGGUCUUAUAAUUUUUGAUUUCAUUCUU
rnacentral:snRNA from 1 species